UACGGAGGGGGCUAGCGUUGUUCGGAAUUACUGGGCGUAAAGCGCACGUAGGCGGCUUUACAAGUCAGAGGUGAAAGCCCGGGGCUCAACUCCGGAACUGCCUUUGAGACUGCAUCGCUUGAACACGGGAGAGGUGAGUGGAAUUCCGAGUGUAGAGGUGAAAUUCGUAGAUAUUCGGAAGAACACCAGCGGCGAAGGCGGCUCACUGGACCGUUGUUGACGCUGAGGUGCGAAAGCGUGGGGAGCAAACAGG
rnacentral:rRNA from 1 species